GGGGAUAUAGCUCAGUUGGUAGAGUGUUUGCCUCACAGCACAAGGCCCUGGGUUCAAUCCCCAGCACCA
rnacentral:tRNA from 1 species